rnacentral:rRNA from 1 species
GAACGCUGGCGGCGUGCCUAAUACAUGCAAGUCGAGCGAACAGACGAGGAGCUUGCUCCUCUGACGUUAGCGGCGGACGGGUGAGUAACACGUGGAUAACCUACCUAUAAGACUGGGAUAACUUCGGGAAACCGGAGCUAAUACCGGAUAAUAUAUUGAACCGCAUGGUUCAAUAGUGAAAGACGGUUUUGCUGUCACUUAUAGAUGGAUCCGCGCCGCAUUAGCUAGUUGGUAAGGUAACGGCUUACCAAGGCAACGAUGCGUAGCCGACCUGAGAGGGUGAUCGGCCACACUGGAACUGAGACACGGUCCAGACUCCUACGGGAGGCAGCAGUAGGGAAUCUUCCGCAAUGGGCGAAAGCUUGACGGAGCAACGCCGCGUGAGUGAUGAAGGUCUUCGGAUCGUAAAACUCUGUUAUUAGGGAAGAACAAAUGUGUAAGUAACUAUGCACGUCUUGACGGUACCUAAUCAGAAAGCCACGGCUAACUACGU